CUCCCCAGCUCUCCUGACAAGCUCAAAGUGGGGCACCCCAGUGCAGGGCACCUCCACCCACUCCCCGCUCGGCUGUGGGUAUUAGGCUGGGUGGGCUGCAGCGGGUGGCAUGGCUCCUAGAGACACCCAGACUUGGGUUUAAAUCCUGCCCCUGCUCCUGUGUCUAAAGCCUUGGACCUGGGCUGAGUUUCUGAGCCUCUCUGCUUAGUUUUCUCCCUGUAAAAUGGUGCCCACGGGACUUCCCUGGCAGUCCAGUGGUUAGGGCUUCGCCUUCCAAGGCAGGGGGUGUGGGUUUGAUUCCUGACCGGGGAGCUAAGAUCCACAUGACUCGUGGCCACAAAAACCAAAACACAGAACAGAAGCAGCAUUGUAACAAAUUCAACAAUGAGUUUAAAAAUGGUCCACAUCAGAAAAGUAAAAUGGUGCCCAAACUGGCUUUGAAUAUUCACUGGAAGGACUGAGGUUGAAGCUGAAACUCCAAUACUUUAGCCACCUGAUUCGAAGAGCUGACUCACUGGAAAAGACCCUGCUGCUGGGAGAGAUUGAAGGCAGGAGAAGGGGACAACAGAAGAUGAGAUGGUUGGAUGGCAUCACCGAUUGUAUGGACAUGAGUCUGAGCAAGCUCCAGGAGUUGGUGAUGGAUAGGGAGGCCUGGCAUGAUGCAGUCCAUGGGGUCGCAAAGAGUUGGACAUGACUGAACGACUGAACUGAACUGAGACUGGCUUUAUCCUGAGGGUGUGCUGGGGCUUGAAAGCAGAUGCCCAUGGCACGAGGUACGUCCUGUAAUUUGGGGUUGAGAUGUGGAGAAGAUUCCCUGAGUUCCCGUCACUCUGGAGCCUGAACCCAAGCUCUGACCCAGAUGGCCCAAGUAUCUGGAAGAGGAGAAGACAGGUGACGAUGUGGCACCUUCAUGGCCUGCGAGGGUUUUCUGCAGAAUGAUGAUAACAGGUGCUUGGAGCCAGGCAGCUGCUCAAUAACUGCUCAUCAUCACCGUCCAAAGCCAAUGACCCUGAGUGGGCUGUACAACCCCCACCCUCUGUUGCCGCUUCCUGCUCUUCUUUGCCACAAGCAGCUCCUCUGAUCUGGGUGGAUCUCAGCCCCACUUCCUUCUGAGGUUGGGAGUCCAGAGUCCUGGAUCCAGAACGCAGCCUGGCCCCAGCAGACACCCAAGCCGGCCCAGGGGCCCUCUCGGCCCAGGAGGCUGGGGCCGGGUGGCAGCCUGAUCGCCUAUCUGUUGGUCCUCUGUCUUGGCCUGUCCUCGAGGCUGCUGGCCCUGGAGCCUCCCCGCCGCUCAUUGCCCAGUCCCUCCCUGCCCUGUAAGCUGUGUCUGUCCCCAUCUCCUAGCGUGCUGCACCCAGAGAGCUCCCGCAUCACCCCCAGCUCAGCACCCCUCGUUGGGGCAAAAACUCAAAUCUCAUUAAAGG
ensembl:lncRNA